UCGGUUCCUUAAAAUCUGCAUCAAUUAUUAUUACAAUAAUUGAAAAAUUUAUGCUAUUCUUGUUGCAACAGUGCAUUGUAGCCAAUAGUGAGCGAGUAUCAACUAAUCAGAGCUGAUUGCGAUCAUGACAUUGUAGCUAUCACUCUACCGCAAUAGAGCUGCUGAUCGCUCUCUCUCCGCGAGCAUCG